rnacentral:misc_RNA from 1 species
CAAGAUAGAUAGGGCUUCCAAGGAUGAAAAAUCAGCUGAGCAGUCUACUGCCCCAGAACAACAUGAUACCCCUGAUGAUGGUGAAGGUGAGAGAAUAGUAACUACAAGAACAUCAGUUAUUGUUAGACAAGCUGAGAGAGAUGCAAUACGUGCAGCUCUGCAGGCUACAAUAAAGCCUAUAAAACGAAAAAAGGAAGGUGAAGAGAAGAGGAUGACACAAGAAGA